CCCUUAGACGUUCUGGGCCGCACGCGCGCUACACUGACGAAGGCAACGAGCUACUCUUCACCGAAAGGUGUGGGUAAUCUUUUGAAACUUCGUCGUGCUGGGGAUAGAUCCUUGCAAUUUUUGAUCUUAAACGAGGAAUUCCUAGUAAGCGCAAGUCAUCAACUUGCGUUGAUUACGUCCCUGCCCUUUGUACACACCGCCCGUCGCUACUACCGAUUGAAUGGUUUAGUGAGGCCGUCGGAUCCGCGAUUUUAUUGUGGAGAAGUUGGACAAACUCAGUCAUUUAGAGGAAGUAAAAGUCGUAACA
rnacentral:rRNA from 1 species